rnacentral:lncRNA from 1 species
UCGAGUAUGAAAUCCACUAAGGAUGUCUUUACAAUCUUCGAAUCACUUAGAUUCCUUCAAGACCAGCAGUCUUGGAACUUCUUAGUUCACUUAGAACUCUUCAAGUCCAGCAAACUUGGAACUUCUUACUUCACUUUAUGAGAGUUGAGUUCUUGGGUUGUGUUACUCAGUUGUCGUUAAGCAUAUGUUCGAAAGAACUGAGUAGCUGAGCAAGUUUUUUUGAUUGAUCAUAGAGUUGAGCGUUAGUGUUCUUCAGCUUUGUUUUAUGUACUUGCUUAGUAUUUCAUCUGCGUCUGAUGAUUUGUAUAUAAAGGAGGCUUUGAAAUAUGUCUGUUUGAAAUAUUAAAUGCAUCAGACAUUUCUGAGCAUUGAUGGUGACUUCCUAGAAAUUUGUUGUUCAGUCGUCUGACUCAUUGACACGACAGAUUGCUAUCUCACCUAACACCUGAAAAAAAAAUCAGCAGGUAUGCAGUCCUUUUCCUUAGCUUCUUCAAUGCGCUUCUUCGAUACAUACUAAGGAUGAGCAUUGGGAUUCCCGAAAGUCUCAACGUCUAUAAUCCAUUCUUCAUUUGUAG